CCCAUUUCUCACCCUCACUCUUCGGCUCACUGUCUCUCUCUCCUCUCCUCCGAAAUUUUUUCUCCUCUCUUCUCUCUUCGAUUUCAUCCACCUAGGGUGAGAUUCCGGACAAGGCCCGAGUAUUAAAGUUGUUCUACGGAGCGCGGGCUUUCCGAAUAUCCAAGAAAAAUUACGAUCGGGCCACGUGAGAACUCGGUUGACUUGGUCAACGGAUUGGGUUUUGCUCAAAACCCAUGAGGUACAAAAAUAAGGAAGUUGGCAUGGCGUGCAUAUCGUGCUUAUUGAUCAUGUCUUUCAAAGGUAUAAAAGAGGCGAUUAUUUGCAUUUGAUUCGAAAGGAGUAUUUUUGGAAAGACAUUUGUUAGAACUGUAAUAUUAUUUUCUUCGGACAUUGGUAUUUCGAUAACUUAGGGCCUCGAGCCAGGGAUGUACUCAUUGAAUUUUAUUUGAGAACAGUGAACAGAAAGGUCUUUUGGGGUAUUAUUUGUAUUACAGUGAGGACUUUAUUUAUUAAAAGUGUUUAUUAUUUAUGUCAAAAAUCGAGGGCGUGACAACUUGGUAUCAGAGCAUAUGUUUAGAAUACCUAGAGACCGUGGGGAGACUUUUAGUCUCAUGGGUUCAAAAUUCGUUGCAUAUUUUUUUUCAAAACACAAGUAUGCUUGCAUGAAUGAGUCGGUACAUUAUUGAGGUGUCGCAUUUUGUAUUAUGGUAGAGUGACAUUGAGUUGUUGACCUGCAUUGGGAAGUUGGAGGCUUGGACCUCAUUGUAGUGAUUGUGGCUAUAUUGACGUGUGAAGCAAAAUAUAAGAUAGCAUGUGAUAAAAGGGAUGGAAUGUUGAUAUGACUUAUGAGAUGAGUGUUAAAUGUGUUUUUAAUUGAAUUGUUUGGAUUAUGUGUUAAGUUUCAAAUGUGUUCAGUUAAGCCUAUGUGAGAUAAACUGUGUAAGGUAUAAGUAUAAGGUGAAUAAUAUAUGCAUUGGGAAUUGAGUUAGUGCGUGUCUUGAAUGUGUUUGGAAGGUAAAGUCGUGUUGUGGUGAUAACUGUGGUUGGUUACUGUAGUUGUAGUUAUUGAGACAGUUAAUAUAAGCAUAGGUAGGGCAAGUCGAACCUACAUACGAGAUAUAAGUAUCUAAAGUUGAGAUAAGAAUAUGAGGGUUAUAGGUAGGGUGUCUAGAUACAGUAUGUGUCUCCUGGACACCCAGGCGACUACCGAUGAGAUCCGAUUGGAAGAGGCGCUUGAUCACCGCUCCUUCUAGAUGGAAGUCUCGGAAAGUCAAUUGGACACUAGGAUUGUGUAUAGGUGUUAGAUCUCUAGGCUUGAGAUAGAUGACUCUACGUAGGAAUUUCGUAGAAAAAUGAUGUGCUAUGGUGUCGUAGUCUUCAUUGUUGAGGUGAAUGUCGUGGUGGUGUCGUUUUGAUAGGAUGGUAAAAAAAAAAAAAAAAGGGAAGAAGACUUGAGGUGAUAGAUUUGAGAAGGACUAAUGUUUAAAUAGUGGUAGUGAUAGCAGUGAUGGUGAUGAGAAUAGUGCGGUUGAUAUUAUUGAGGUUGAGUACAAUUGUGGUAAAUAUCUUUGAGGAAAAUUGAUGUCGUUAUGACUACUUAGUUGAAAGAAGAAAUUUGUGAGCUGUGAAACUUGUGGUGAGCGGAACUGUUAAAAGAUAUUGGUGUGAGAGAAUUGAUUCUUAGGUGAGAAGUAGUUGGAAUCUUAGAAUGUGAUGAGAAGUAUAGACAUGCUAUUUGCAACCCUCUAGUCUUGUUGGUAUUUAGGAAGGAGUUUGUAAAUUUGUUUGUGCUUGUAUUGGUGUUUAAAUUUUGGUAUCGAGAUAAUCAAUAGUUUUGGAAGUUCGUUAGUGCAACUAUUGCACACAUUGUGUAGGUAUUUGGGUGAUGAAAUGCCAUGUGAUUGUAAAGUUGAUAGAGAAAUGAUUAAUAUUGAUGUUGUGUAUUUGUUAUGUGAUAUUUGAGAUUGUGAAAAUGGGAAACAUGUGACUUGAGUAGACUAAUUGACGAGAGUAUUUGAGAUUGAUGGGUGAACAGAACAUGUGAAAGGUAUGAUGAAGUUGAAAAGAACGAGAUUACCAUUGGGCUUUCUAGAGCCAUGAAAUGUGAAUCUGUGGAUACUUUGUGAGUUGGUGAGUCUGCUGGAUACUGAGUGAGUCUAUUAAUGCGUGGAUGUGUUUGGUGUUGUGUAAGCUACUAAAUUGUACCGUGGGUUGUUGAAAUAUUUCGUGAAUGAAAUGUGCUGUUGUUUAGCUUUAACCUACAUGUUUGAUUUAUUAUGUAAUCUCAAUGCGAGAAAUUUGCUUUUAGUAUACGAUGUAGAAUAAACAGUGAUGCUUAUGUGGGUAGUUGCUACGAGUGUAUGCCUUUCCUGAGUAGCAGUAACGAUGUUUGGAGAAUUGGGUUUAAGGAAAAUAGUGGAUUGAUAUUUUACUAGAACGGUUUUAAUGUGUGUUGUGAAAAGUUAUGUAGAAGGGACGCAUUACCAUAGAAGUGAGUUUAAGUUUCCGAAAAUAGAAACCAGUGGCGAUUCUCAGCGGGCUAGGGAAUGUGGAGUAUUGCUAGACUAUUGGUUAUGUUGGAAUGUUGAAUGGACGAAAAAGUAGAUGGGGUUUAAGCCGAGUUGGUAAAAGAGUUAUAUGGGUAGCCAGAGGUGUGAGUUGGUGAUUGUGGCUAGCGGUUUUGUUUAUAUGUGUUUGGUUGUGUUGACAAUUAUUAGCAGAAUCAAUAGAAUUGAAUAAGUUGUGAGGUGUGUUUAUUCUUAAAGUCGAGAGAAAGAUCAAUAGAUUGAAGUAUAGGCAGUUUGACCAUUAUGAGUGGAUGUUUAUAGCUGAGCAAUGGGUGAUGAGUUAUUAUGUGGUUUAGAAUUCGAGGCUUAUUAGUUUUAUUCCAAUGGAGAUUAUUUGAGGUUCUUUGGAUUGGUGAGUAAAGGUUUGAUUCAUUGAUUGAUGUUGAUUGAAAAAGAUAGAACUUGGAGUUUAGAAUUCGAGUUUUUCUGAGCAGCUUAAUUUGUCCUUCUAGAAAUUUCGAGAAAUACUUAGAGAACGUAAGGAGAUUGUUUGUUGGAUUUUGAUGUGAUUGUCAUGUUGGUAAGUGGAGUCUAAGAAUUUUGUACAGAUGUGAAGACUUGAGGAUUUGAUAAAAUGAUAGUGGUUUGCGAUUGAGUGUUGAGUGGUAGAACCAUAAUAAUAGUGAGGAUUUCGUGGAGUAAUCAGAAAAAAAAAAAAAGAGGGUCUACAUAGAAAGGAGAGGAUGAUGUGAUUAUUAUGAGAUGGCAGUAUGAGGUUUGGUAUUGUGGUUUGUGACUUGGUUGGACUUGGAUGAGCAAAUUUCGAGGACGAAAUUAUUUUUAAGGAGGGUAGGAUGUAGAGACCCAUAUUUUUUUGGACCGUAUUUUUCUUUUGCAAUCGUAUGACUUGUCGAGAUAGACGGUAUGGAUUUACGGUGUGGCGUGUUCGUGAAAGGAUAUAAUGGUAAUUAUGUGAGAGGUGCACGUGUGUGUGUGGCGCGAGAAGCGGGGGAUUCCUCCCCCACCUUUAUCUUUUUCCCGGGGAGAAUAAUUCUCCCAUUUCUCACCCUCACUCUUCGGCUCACUGUCUCUCUCUCCUCUCCUCCGAAAUUUUUUCUCCUCUCUUCUCUCUUCGAUUUCAUCCACCUAGGGUGAGAUUCCGGACAAGGCCCGAGUAUUAAAGUUGUUCUACGGAGCGCGGGCUUUCCGAAUAUCCAAGAAAAAUUACGAUCGGGCCACGUGAGAACUCGGUUGACUUGGUCAACGGAUUGGGUUUUGCUCAAAACCCAUGAGGUACAAAAAUAAGGAAGUUGGCAUGGCGUGCAUAUCGUGCUUAUUGAUCAUGUCUUUCAAAGGUAUAAAAGAGGCGAUUAUUUGCAUUUGAUUCGAAAGGAGUAUUUUUGGAAAGACAUUUGUUAGAACUGUAAUAUUAUUUUCUUCGGACAUUGGUAUUUCGAUAACUUAGGGCCUCGAGCCAGGGAUGUACUCAUUGAAUUUUAUUUGAGAACAGUGAACAGAAAGGUCUUUUGGGGUAUUAUUUGUAUUACAGUGAGGACUUUAUUUAUUAAAAGUGUUUAUUAUUUAUGUCAAAAA